UGGGCACGUUAGGACAAAGCUCCUGCAGCAGUCUGGAGAUGAUCUCCCACACAGCCUUGCAGUUCACUAUGCACUCACUGGCAGAUUGAGCAGCAGCAAGCUCAGGUGUGAGAUGUCUGUUACUGUGGCUUGUAACAGGGCAGUCAUCUUUGUGGCUGGUUUGGUCUGGGAGAUAUGUGGAGUCUGACUCCUCUUCUGAGAAGAGCUUGUACACUUGCUUUGCCACUACGUCAGCCAGUGCUGUGACUACACACUUCCUUUUGAGCUUGAGAGCGUCUUGCAAAGCCUCAGCUGAGCCAGUUUCCUUUACCAUCUUCUUAUACACUAAUCUGGCAGCUUUCUCCAGAUCUGUAGGGGAGGGUUUACACCAUUUUUUCUGGUGCUCACCUACUGGAAUCGUCAGCAUGGCUGUGUUAGUGAAGAGCUCCACCAUGACUGCAUCCAUGAGAUCUCCGGUCAUGUCAGUGGAGCAUCGGCUCUGUGGCCCAUUCCAGGUGCUGUCUGGUGACCGACAGUAUGAUAUGAAGUCUAGGAUUCUGAGGACAAGAUCUUCAGAGAUGUCUGAGGCUGCACAGGACACCCAGGAAGCAUUUGUGUCUGUUCUGGGGCCGGGUGAGAUUGGAUUAUCAGUGUGAUCGACACUAGUGUGAUAGACAGCCCCAAUCCUGCUGGUUACUUUGGACACCUCCAGAGAAAUUGAGCUGGCAAUCUCUUUCACCAUGUGUCCCGAUGAUACAGCCUUCCACAAGCUUUCUUGGGAACCAGUGCAGGAAAGCAAUUCUUUGUGAACACUCUUGGCCACAUGAUGUUUAUAACUAGAUGGGAGGACCAGAGACUCGUCGGUGUCUCAUGGUGUUUGGCCUGUGACUGGCUGGGUUUUCCCUCAUUCUGGGUGGCUUUGAUGUGAGGCUCCUGUUCAGUGUGCACGGCGGUCUUGACUGGUGACAUCUUCCCAAAACACCUUCUCACACUGCUGGCAGCCUUACUGUGCCAGGGAAGUUCAGGUUUCACGCAUUUAGACC
ensembl:lncRNA